UAGAAUGCUUUAAGAUUUUUUCCUUAAUGCCUUCCCACAUGCCAACGAAAGCAAAAGGUGGUAGGAUGUUUUUAAAAUUUUCUUAUAAAUUAUGUUGUAAUAUUAUGAGAUGCUUUAAACAUUUAAUAAAUUAAAAGAAGGUUCUUUGAUAUUCACAUUUCUAUUUGACAGCAAAUUUUGAUUUUCCUUGUUGUGUUUGAAUGUACUGGACAGUCAUAGUAUUUUAAUGAUAUAAGUUCUUUGAGAAAACUGCUCUUUUAUGAUGUUCAAACUUCAAAGUAAUCUUUGCUUGAUACUUAUGGUAGUAAAACUUCUAUAUUGGGAUGAAAAAUAUAUGAUUGUUUUCUAGUGACAUCUUUUGAAAUGUCCAUUCAGGCUCUCCUGGUCAUCGGAAAGCUAAAGUUUCAGAAUCCAAAUAUGGAAGGGUGGCUAAGAUGAGGAGUUCAUCUUGGUGGGUUAAGUAUUUUGUUCAGACUAGCUUGGAGGAGAAUGAAGCUACUAUCAAGAAGUUUGAGCAUGCAGCGAUAAAGAUGUCAUGUCUCAAAAUGCCAAAUUUUUUACCUUAUGCCAUUCCAUUAACAUUUUGAAUUUUUUUUAAAAUUUUUUUACCACUCUUGAAGCACUUGGAGGUGCUAUUUUUGAUAAUUCAUCUCAGAUGAUUUUUUCUGUAGGAGACUAUCAAUCUUUCCCCUCAGUUGUAUUGUUCACAAGAAUAUGAAUUGUAUUAUUUUAUUUAAGUUAUUAUUUUAAAGUUAAAGCAAGAAUGAGUGUGGUAUGUGUUCAGAAGGGUCCUAUAUUGUUAUCUGAGUACGCUGAUUGUUAUAUAAACAGAUACUUUGGUACUCUCA